ensembl:lncRNA
ACCAUCAAUCUGCUGCCCCACCUCUCUGAAAGCCAGCUUAGUGCUGUCCUUCUCAGCUGCAAUUCUCCUGGGAGAACCAAGCCUCCUUCCUGGGGGAGGCUGUGAGGGAGACCGAGCCAUCCGAGAAGAAUCCUGGGGCCCCAAAGAGUAACUAAUGGCCUACAGCUGUUGGCUGUAAGGAAAACCCAUCAGGACUGAUGGAGACUUUGCCAGGUUUGUGCCUGUGUGGCCCACCGGCAGCUACUGCAAGUUUAAUUAUUAGCAACAGUUGGGAAGUGUCUUCUCUCCCACCCACAGCCUCCAUAUAAAUAUUUCUUUCUACCAUCUGUCACACUGACUGAAGUCUCCGUACUCAGAUUUUGACAAUGGUCAGGUUUUCAAGAGCUUCCUACUAAAAAUGUAAAUGUGGCAGGGAGAUCAUCAAACUGGACUAUGAAUGCUAUGGCCAUGGAAAGGGGCUGCUUCGGGGGAUUGGUAACUGACAAGCAUGUAGAUAAAUAUGAUAAGAAACUCCUUGUAAUCAUGUAUGGAUGUGAGAGUUGGACUAUAAAGAAAGCUGAGCACUGAAGAAUUGAUGCUUUUGAACUCUGAUGUUGGAGAAGACUCUUGAGAGUCCCUAAAGGACUCUCAAGUACAUCCUAAAGGAAAUCAGUCCUGAAUGUUCACUGGAAAGACUGAUGCUGAAGCUGAAUACUUUGGCCACCUGAUGCAAGAACUGACUCAUUGGAAAAGACCAUGAUGCUGGGAAAGAUUGAAGGCAGGAAGAGAAGGAGAUGACAGAGGAUGAGAUGGUUGGAUGGCAUCACCAACUCGAUGGACAUGAGUUUGAGCAAGCUUCGGGAGUUGAUGAUGGACAGACAUCUCACCUGUGACCUGUAACCUAUGACUUCUGACCAUCGAACUGUGAUCCUUGAAACUGCAAGUGAAAGUGCAAGUCGCUCAGUUGUGUCCGACUCUUUGUGACCCCAUGGAAGAGGAAAAGACCCCAUGCUGCUGCCAAGUCACUUCAGUUGUGUCCGACUCUGUGCGACCCCAUAGACGGCAGCCCACCGGGCUCCCCCAUCCCUGGGAUUCUCCAAGCAAGAACACUGGAGUGGGUUGCCAUUUCCUUCUCCAAUGCAUGAAAGUGAAAAGUGAAGCACAGAUCUCAAUAAAGGCAGAUAGAGGCCGGAUUACAGAACCCUUAGAGUGAGCAUGGGGCCCUUAGAAAUGCUAAAUCAGUGGCUGGACACCAGAAUGUUGAAGGGUCAAAAUCUGAAGCCCAUCUUUAAGGGUGCCAGGUGUACAUGGCCUCCACAGAUUCUUACAACGGUACAUGUGGGGCGUAAAACAAAUACAACACUGGAAAUCAAUUCUAUCCCAAUGUAAGAUAAAAAUCAAGUUGAAAGGCAGAAAAAGGGGGAAUGAAGAAACGCUGCUGCUUGUGGCUCUUUCCCCUAAGAACAAUUUUAAAACCUGAGUUGAUGGGCACUUCGUACUCAUAAGGCCUGUGGGACUGUAAAAGACACCUGUCCUCAAGAGAUGUCCUAGGGUAAACCAUCGGGGAAAAUUCAAAACAGAGCUGACUUUUAAGAAGCUGGCUUCAAGAAGUAAAUUGUACUCACACUGUAUAAGAUUUUUUUAAAAAACACACGGAAAGACACUCCACUAACUAUUAAAUCAAUGCAAAUCAAAACUACAAUGAGUUAUCCCUUCAGACAGGUUAAAUUGGCCAUCAUCGCAAAGAUCUACAAAGAAUAAAUUCUGCAGACAGCAUAAAGAAAAGGGAAUCUUCCUGUACUUCUGGUGGGGUUGUAAAUGGGUCUAGCCACUAUGGAAAACAGUAGGCAGGUUCCCUAAUAAACUAACAUAGAGGUAUCAUGAUCAGCAAUCCCACUCCUGGGCUUAGAUCUGGAGAAAAUCGUAAUUCAAAAUGACACAUGCAUCCCUCUUUUCAGGGAAGUAUCAUUUAUAAGAGCCAAGACAUAGAAUCAACCAAAAAUGAAAGUGAAAGUCUCUCAGUCAGUCAUGUCUGACUCUGUGACCCCAUGGACUAUACAGUCCAUGGAAUUCUCCACGCCAGAAUACUGGAGUGAAUAGCCAUUCCCUUCUCCAGGGGAUCUUCCCAACCCAGGAUUGAACCCAGGUCUCCCAUGUUGCAAGAGGAGUCUUUACCAGCUGAGCCACAAGGGAAGCCCAAGAAUACUGGAGUGGGUAGCCUAUCCCUUCUCCAGCGGAUCUUCCCGACCCAGGAAUCGAACUGGGGUCUCCUGCAUUGCAUGCAGAUUUUUUUACCAACUGAAUUAUCAGGGAAACCGUAAAAUGUCCUUCAACAGAAAAAGGAAGUCCAAGUGGUACAUCUAUACACUGGAAUACUGCUAAGUCACUUCAGUUGUAUCCGACUCUGUGCGACCCCAUAGACGGCAGCCCACCAGGUUCCCCCGUCCGUGGGAUUCUCCAGGCAAGAGUACUGGAAUCGGUUGCCGUUUCCUUCUCCAGUGCAUGAAAGUGAAAAGUGAAAGUGAAGUCGCUCAGUUGUGUCCGACCCUCAGCGUCCCCAUGGACUGAAGCCUUCCAGGCUCCUCCAUCCAUGGGAUUUUCCAGGCAAGAGUACUGGAGUGGGGUGCCAUUGCCUUCUCCAAUACACUGGAAUACUACUUAGCCACAAAACAGAAUGAAAUAGUGCCAUUGGCAGCAGCAUGGGUUGACCAAGAGAUUAUUAUACUAAGUCAGAGAGAGAAAGACAAAUGUAAGAUAUCACUUACUGAUGGAAUCUGUAAAUUCAUACUGCUGCUGCUGCUGCUAAGUCGUUUCCGUCGUGUCCGACUCUUCUUGACCCCAUGGACUGCAGCCUACCAGGCUCCUCUGCCCAUGGGAUUUUCCAGGCAAGAGUACUGGAGUGGGGUGCCAUUGCCUUCUCCAUAAAUUCAUACAAGUGAACUAAUUUACAAAACAGAAACAGAC